rnacentral:rRNA from 1 species
GACGAACGCUGGCGGCGUGCCUAAUACAUGCAAGUCGAGCGAGACUCUUCGGAGUCUAGCGGCGGACGGGUGAGUAACACGUGGGCAACCUGCCUGUAAGACUGGGAUAACACCGGGAAACCGGUGCUAAUACCGGAUAAUCCUUUUCCUCUCAUGGGGAAAAGUUGAAAGUCGGUUUCGGCUGACACUUACAGAUGGGCCCGCGGCGCAUUAGCUAGUUGGUGAGGUAACGGCUCACCAAGGCGACGAUGCGUAGCCGACCUGAGAGGGUGAUCGGCCACACUGGGACUGAGACACGGCCCAGACUCCUACGGGGGUCAGCAGUAGGGAAUCUUCCACAAUGGACGAAAGUCUGAUGGAGCAACGCCGCGUGAGCGAUGAAGGCCUUCGGGUCGUAAAGCUCUGUUGUUAGGGAAGAACAAGUACCGGAGUAACUGCCGGUAUCUUGACGGUACCUAACCAGAAAGCCACGGCUAACUACGUGCCAGCCGCCGCAGUAACAC